AUGUAUCACAACUUUAAAACUGUUUUUUGGAACAUGCAUGGGCUCAAUAGCCAAGCCAAACGCACGGCAAUUCAUAGCGUGAUCGCGGCCGCUGCGCCUUCUAUCGCCCGCCUCCAGGAAACAAAACUCUCCUGCGUAUCUCCCGCUAUCGUUGCUGAAACGCUUGUCGCGUCCUUCCGUGACUUCUACUGGCUGCCCGCUAAUGGCAUGCGUGGAGGAAUUCUCCUUGCAUGGCAGGCUGACAAUGUCUCGCUU
rnacentral:rRNA from 1 species